rnacentral:rRNA from 1 species
CCUACGGGAGGCAGCAGUGGGGAAUAUUGGGCAAUGGGGGCAACCCUGACCCAGCAACGCCGCGUGAAGGAAGAAGGCUUUCGGGUUGUAAACUUCUUUUAUCAGGGACGAAGGACGUGACGGUACCUGAAGAAUAAGCUCCGGCUAACUACGUGCCAGCAGCCGCGGUAAUACGUAGGGAGCGAGCGUUGUCCGGAUUUACUGGGUGUAAAGGGCGCGUAGGCGGGAUAGCAAGUCAGAUGUGAAAUCUGGGGGCUUAACCCCCAAACUGCAUUUGAAACUGUUAUUCUUGAGUGAUGGAGAGGCAAGCGGAAUUCCUAGUGUAGCGGUGAAAUGCGUAGAUAUUAGGAGGAACACCAGUGGCGAAGGCGGCUUGCUGGACAUUAACUGACGCUGAGGCGCGAAAGCGUGGGGAGCAAACAGG